GCUUCUUUAGCUCAGUGGUAGAGCGUGGGAUUGCAGAUCCUAAGGUCCCUGUUUCGAUCACGGGAGGAAGCU
rnacentral:tRNA from 1 species